AAAAUUAAAGAACAGCGAGUUCUCACGUUGAAUAUAAUGCUGGCCUUUUUUUGUCUCUCGCAGGGGAAUUUCAGAGUGCCUGCCCCGGUUGACAUGCAUGAUCAGAGGGAUCGGAGACCCACUGGUGUCGGUGUAUGCCCGUGCCUACCUGUGCCGGGUGGGAAUGGAAGUGGCCCCACAUCUCAAAGAAACCCUAAAUAAGAACUUUUUUGACUUCCUCCUUACGUUCAAACAGGUA
rnacentral:lncRNA from 1 species